AGUGAACGCUGGCGGUAGGCCUAACACAUGCAAGUCGAACGGCAGCACAGUAAGAGCUUGCUCUUACGGGUGGCGAGUGGCGGACGGGUGAGGAAUACAUCGGAAUCUACUUUUUCGUGGGGGAUAACGUAGGGAAACUUACGCUAAUACCGCAUACGACCUACGGGUGAAAGCAGGGGAUCGUCGGACCUUGCGCGAUUGGAUGAGCCGAUGUCGGAUUAGCUAGUUGGCGGGGUAAAGGCCCACCAAGGCGACGAUCCGUAGCUGGUCUGAGAGGAUGAUCGGCGACACUGGAACUGAGACACGGUCCAGACUCCUACGGGAGGCAGCAGUGGGGAAUAUUGGACAAUGGGCGCAAGCCUGAUCCAGCCAUACCGCGUGGGUGAAGAAGGCCUUCGGGUUGUAAAGCCCUUUUGUUGGGAAAGAAAAGCAGCAGGUUAAUACCCAGCUGUUCUGACGGUACCCAAACAAUAAGCACCGGCUAACUUCGUG
rnacentral:rRNA from 1 species